rnacentral:rRNA from 1 species
AUGGAGUUUGCCAAGAUGACGCCAAUGUCAACAGCAUCAACCUGGUGCUGCAAGGAUCGUGAUGGGGAGCUCACAAGAAGGACUCCUGCCAUCCACUUCGUCAUGCUGGAGCUAGAGGAGGGAGACGUGGCGCCCAUUGAGGAUGUCAUCGACAUCUACUUCGUCAAGCUGGAGCCCAAAGGCGCGGAGCACGGAUNNNNNNNNNNGCGUGCUGAGGAGGAUGGCGAGACAGAGCUCGUUAGGAUGACGCCCGUCAUCUUCUUCAUCAAGCCGGCGCUAUGGAGGACGAAGGCGUGGAGGCUCGGGACGAUGGCGCCACGGAGUUCGCCAAGAUGA